rnacentral:misc_RNA from 1 species
AAUUUGUGUUCACGUUUUUUCCCGAAGGAUAAACGAUAAAGGACUAGUUGAGAAGUGUUUUCUACUUUAAAUCUCAAAUUGUCAAAUAUCUGAAGUGUAGAUAACGUUUGAUUGCUUCUUCAUUUAAUUUGCUUGAGCAAACAGCGAAGGAAGAAUUAAUCGAAUUUGAAAUUUCUUUCAAUAUCCAGAGAGACUGUAAUUUCUUAGCAAACAUAACAGCACAGACUACGAGAUUUGGAAGACCUCAUUUGUAACUGAAAACGAUAAUGAGUUCAGUAUAUUGCUGUUGACUUGUCAAUGGCCAUACAGCUUUCAGUCAGUUAAUUAUUGCCUCCUGUUAUUGAAAAGGAUCGAUUGGACGAAGAAACAAGAAAGAACUAUUUGUUUUGUGGUACAGACAGAAACGAAGAUAAUUUUGUUCAUGUCUUCAAAGUUGAUCAAAGAAACUAGGAACACUUAAAAUAAGGAUGGAUAUCCUAGAAGAAGAAGAAUUCAACUGGAUAGAUGAAAACUUUUUGAGAAACAGCAGGCCACAAAAAGCAAGUUAUUCCAAUGAAAAGGAUGAAGCCUGGAAGAGAGAGCUAGGACGGCAACAAGAAAGACACGCGUCGUGUGAAAAUGUAUCGUACAGUCACGAGAAGCAAGAUCAUCCUGCAUCAUUUUGUCCUCGAGACAUAAAGGGAAGAAGAUCGGUGAAACUUGAAUUAGAUAGAGAAUAUACAAAAACGGAGAUAUUAGACGUACUUUUUGGCGAUGAAAUGAAUCACAGAAUUUCUGAUUCUUGUGAAACAUUUGUAUUUUCAAACACCCCUACUAAACAGGAUGACCUUGCAGAAAUAGAAAUAAUUGAUCUUUGUGAUUCCGAGGAUGAAUUGCACGAGGAAAAAAGCAUUCCGAAUUUGUGUGGGAUGGCUAAAAUGGAAGCAAACAUCUCCAUUCCUCAAGAUGAGAAAAUCAUUACAGCUUCGGCAGUUGUUUUGACCGACUCUGAAAUCAAGCAAGACCAUCAGGUGUCAGUUAACAACAAUUACUUAACAAGUAAAAUUUCCAAGAUCAUUGAUAGAUUGGCUGUACCCAUCAACUAUGUUCUUGCUGGAUUUGAACAAAUAAUUAGCGCUCUUUCAUUCAGCUCUGACAUGAAGUCUUGCUCUCUUGUUGGGGCCAGUAGUUCAAAAAACAGCAAUAACCUGAAGCCCAAUCCUUCAAUGGCUACUUUGAUGGAUUUGAACACUUUACACCAUGUUUCUCCUAAAGAGACGCUUCACAACGAUUCUCAGCCAACAAAAGAAGAAAAUCUGAUGACUGAGUAUUUAGAAUCGGAGAUUGAUUGUUAUUGCAAUCCGGCGUUCCAUACAUGCCGAAAUGCUCCCUCCAUCAUUGGCGAUAACGCGAGGUCUUAUUCAAGCGAGAUUCGAAGAAAAGAAGGCGAAGUCGCAAGGCAAGCUCCAUAUGUCAAUUUAGACACAAGAAAUUCUCCACAAAAGCACAGUUUGAAAAGUCGUUAUCGAUCUGAUCGUCGUAGUAGCCCUAUGAUGAAUGUGAAAAAUGUCCCUAAAUCCGAUAUUGAAUGCCAAUUGAAACAAUACGAAUAUGCAGAUAGUGAAUUUCAAACCUCAAAAACUUCAUUGUCUGCAGUGGAAAUUGAAGCAACAAGGCUUAUAUCAACCAAUGACGAAUGUGGUAUUCCUCAGAACUUGACCAGUCGAAAGUGUGAAUUACAAUUUAACGGUAAUAACACUCAAACCUUGUCCUACGAACGUGAUCUACUUUCUGAAAACAAGCCACUGAAUUCAUCAACCUCCUCAUUACCUCCCUUCAUAGAGGGUGAUGAGGAAGUUUCUACUCCAUGUGUUUCUCUUGAAUGCACAACAGCGCCUAGUUCUGAUUGUAUUGUUGCUCCAUUUGUUUCUCGUUGUUCAAGCAUGACUGAAAUUCCUCUUCGCAUAUCUACUCGACAAAAAUCUCGGCCUCAUAGAUACCGAGAUACCGAUGACGAUUUGAAUAUGAGACAUGCAAGAAUGACGAAAGCGAGAUCCAGCUCAACCAAACUUAGAAAACCAUUGAUCAAUGCAGUAAGAUCUGUUAAUGUGGAGCCCGUCGUUGAAUGUGAAAGUUUGGAAAGUUAUCAUGUCGAUGACGUAGAAGUUCAUCAGCGCAAUGCGUGAACCGAUUUCAUCAGAGAAAAGGUUGCUCUCUUCAUCGUCCCACUUAAAAAAACAGCUAGCUGGGUACUAUUUAUUGGAAUGAAUAUUCCAUCACAUCCAUGAUCCUUCCUUCCCUAACCCAUGGGACAGAAGACAAGGCAGUCUAAGUUCUAUUCCUGAGAUAGAAGUUUUAUCUCUUUUUGUGUUACUGAGCCCAAUUUGAACAAAUUAUGUUCCCCUCCUUUGAGGUCGACGAUUACCACUUUUUGUAAAUGUCAACAUAGAAGUGUUCAAAUAUGAGUAACUUUAGUUUCUUCGA